UGUGUGGCACUGAUUUUUUAUUUUUUUAAUUUAAUUUUUAUUUUAUUUUUUUGUCCAACACAGAAGCUCUUGGGGGGAAAAGGAAGGAUGGAAAAUUGUCGAAAAUAGGAAAAUUGUGCAAGGGCUUCAUAGAAAUUAACUGCAUCCAAAAAUCCUGAAAAUCAUCGUUAAUUCUUCCCACAGACCCGGGAAAUGAAGACUAUGAACGGUUUCUGAUUCUCCGAGGUAAUAGGUCACCCUGAAGUCUUCAACGUUACUCCUCUUUUCUUGUCAGAAGCCUAAGGUCUGAUUUUUCUCUCAAGCAGAAUAUUAUUUAUUAGAGGUUUUUUUGUUUUGUUUUCCCCAAAAUGUCAGACUCUACCACCAUGGAGUUGUGGGAUUUGUGAAGCAACUUGAAAUGUGAGAUUUCCGGAAAGGGAAAUGGCGAGGAUUUGCUUGCCGAGCACCAGUGCCCUGGAAACCGCGUUUCGUGUUAACGGGGCUCGAGGACCUCGUCAUUCGCUCACGUAAUGACGUAACAAUAGGUUAUUAGUACAGCGAGGACGCGGGCCUCCCACAGUCCCCACCGUCGGACGGCAGGGAACACCAGGGAUGUGCUGACGCCCGCGGGUCACUCUGUUUUGUCAGUUGAACAGGAAUCCUGGGAUGACCGUUCUUGGACUGAAAGAACUGCUUCUGCUUCCCGUUGCCCCUGAGCCCUUUAUUCAAGCUACUGGAACAACGGAUUCUGAGCGCAUUCUUAGUUUCUGUGAAGGACAGCGUCUACAGACUUGCUGGUUCAUGUCUCUUUGACCAAAUAGAAAACGCCUGUGGGGUAGGAGGCUCUCGGCUUGUCCCACCAAUCCUAAGAUCAUCCAUCAGAAUUCGGUGAUGUUAAUGCCUUCUAAGAAGUAUAUAUUUUAAGACCCGAGUAUUACCCAAUGGCCACUCCAGUCUCUGGAAUUCCUCUUCUGGCUUCUACGCAUAGGGCCGGUGGUUUGAUUCUCAAGGUCAUUACCUGAGGACUCUGCAGCCGUGAGAUCACUUGAGUCAAGCUGGAUGCUGAUUCAUCCCAAGGGAGCAAGUAAAUGGAUGUGGAUCCUACCUUUGGUUUUCUCAAUUCUGCUAAGGCCAGAGGAGCUCCGAGCUUUGCCUGGUAGAAACCCCUUUCUCCGACCACCCCAGGUGAAUUGCUUCCUUCUUGAGGACUCUGAAUUGCCUGGCUUAUUCCUCCUUCCUCCCACCUAGUCACUGUGGUCACACUGGCGGCUCCUCCACAAUUGUGAGGAUAUGGAAUUUCCUCUGGAAGGGAGCAAUUGUGCUCAAGCAAAGCCAAUCGUAGGCGAAGUUUAACUCAUCUACCAGACUUCUUCAAAAAUGCGAAUGCACUGAUUUGGGGGAACCUGGACAUUGUGGUUGUUCAAAGGACAACUAUGAAUCCCUUCUAUCAUCUUCUUCACUAUGGAUUUUAGAGAGGACACCCAGGUACAUCUGACCGCUGACAAGCAGAAUCUUUCAUAUCUGAUAAAGCAGGGCAGUAACCACAAAGUGAAAAGCAUUGAGAUGUGAACCAACUACCAGUCUAUUCCCAGCCUUUUUAUGAUAUGUUGAGUAUGUUUCCCACUUUAAAGGAUAAUCCUACCCACCCCACCACCAUAAGCAGGAAGCAGUAGUUAUCUCAUUUGGGGUAACGCUUCUGAAGGCUGGGAUUAAAGCAGUUGAAGAUCUGUGAACAGCAUUUAAACCACAAAAAGAGUAUUGCAAGGGAAGCAGAUGGCAGGUGAUAAUAAUGGGGAGGUCACCCCCAUCCCCGGUUGAAGAAUCAUCAUUCUGGAUUCUAGAAGUUUCAAUGAGUUCAGAAUCCCUUAGUUUUACAAAAAGAGGCCAAUUUCUCCACGUUUAUUUAUCAUCAACCACGAAUGAAAACUGUGAUGAGUCCUGAUGUCUAAGUUGGCCAUAGACACUGUAGUUUCCAGAACAAAAGCCCAUGUCUGAGAGCCGAGCCAAUGCAAGCUUUGACAAUGGCAGAGGGCAUGUGAAGUAAGAACUGUCACGGAAAACCCAGGAUUUAACAGUCACCAGCAGCCCAAAGAAGCUCGGAGCUACUCCGCACGAUCUGUUGGGAUAAAAUCCCAGUAAAGAACCUUAAAGGUCUAAUUACUUCAUUGGCAUUGAAACCAAACUGCUAGUUGAGAAAUUAAUUGUGGAGCCGUCGGAGAUGGAGUAGUAGGAAGUUGUUUUGAGCAGUGAUGUCAGUCUGAAACUCCGAGGAAGAUGUGGAGCAAUAAACACCAACGCAAACUGCCGAAAGUAGCUGAGGAGGAGGAGAUCAGAUGUGCAGCUGGCACCACACAGACUUCUGUUCAUUUACUGAUUCCUUGGGCACACAAAAUACAUGUGGAAACACACAUUUAUUGUCUUCCUUCGUGUGCACCAAAAUGCCUUGGAAUGAAGGACCUUUUACAUCUAUUUUCAACUCAUUCUGGAUCGGUUUCCUUUUAAGAACCAUCAGCCCCAUUCACCUGGCAAUCGGAGUUCAGAAGAUAUAAUUUACAGCCUCCAGAAGUCUAGGUGAGCGCAAUUGGAUGAUGUCCAGCUUCGCCGGAAUCAGAGAGGUAACUGUUCAUCUCCACCGUGGGGAUUGGCGUGCACUCCACAAAUAGGGCCUAAUGUGAUCCGACAGGCCUGAUUUCUCCAGAUAUAUAUUAAAACAACAUGCCCAGUGCUGAUGGCUCCAAGGUCCUGACCUUUAGCAAGAACUUAUGACGUAAGGCAACCUGCCCAGGAGAGCAAGUGGAGCAGAAGGCCAGAGGGACAAGGUCAUCAGCUAAUGAAGUGGUCAGCAUUGAGUUUCUGUCACUCAGCUGGUUAAGAGGAAACUGAGAGGGAAGUAAAAGAAAAUGGGAGCAUUUGAGAAACAAAGAGAAGGACCACGUUUGAGCUGAUGCUCCAAAAGUGAGCAGAUGUUGUCAGAACCAGGCUGAGGAAACGCGGCCUGUCUGAGCCUUCAUUAUAGCCUCGCUCAAUCCUACCUGCUGAACACAGGCUGGUCAAAAGAACAUUGGGAAGAAGCUAAUUCUGUACAAAUGCCAAGUUAGAAUGAAAGUGAGCAGCUCCUAAAGCAACCUGCUCUUUGGUUCCUAUCAGCCCCAGACAUACAGUAAGGACAAGUGGUCAAGAACAUGGGCUUCGAGAUGUGUUCCAGGCCUGUUCCGGGUACACUACCCAUUGAGCUUCAGCAUCAUUAUCUGGAAAACUGAAAAUGGUCCCUACCUCAAAGAGGGGUUCAUAGAAUUACAGGAGAAAAUUCAUAUCAAAGGGCAUAGCAUGAUGUUUGGCAUAAAGUAGUCACUCAAGUGUCAGCAGCGACCAUUGUUAUUCUGUAAACACAGACAAUCUCAGACAGAGAGUGAGUGCCUGGUUUUAAAAAAUGGGUAGUAAGUCGUGUGUUACAGACUACGAAGUUGGUUCCACUGGUUUCACACUGGGAAUUCUAAUGUUUCCCAUUAGAGGAGCACUUCAAACUUUUGAAUGACUCGCCUGGUUGAUGAACAUUUAUUGAAAAUUACUGAGUGCUGAGCACUGUCCUUGGUGACGCUGAAUCAACUUUGUUCUUCACCACCUUGCUGGGGAGAUGGAAACAUCGAGACUCAGAGCCUAAGUGGUAGUAUACUUCGAGAAUGUAGCAUGGGGUAGAGACAACGACUCUUCUUGAGAAUAUCAGAGAGAAGUCAAAGAGAGGAGGACAUUCAUUCCUCUUUCAUCACUUACUCCUUCAGAUGAUGCCUUAGGGUGCAUAAAGCUGGUGUCACUCUCCCCAUUCAUUUUAUGUAUGAAAAAGUUGAAAUCCAAAAAAAAAAAAAAAGGUUGAAAUCCAGGCAGGUUACCCUUGCUUUUGUUUGCAGCAGUUCAUAGGAGAACUGAGACUGUUACCUGAGUCUCCAAGCUUCCAGAAGGGAGAUUCCUCAGCAACAUCAGGAUGAAUUAUGCCCACUGAUGGCCAUCUGAGAUCCAGAACCAUUUCUCCUAACUGGCAUUAUCAUCGUAGCCAGAUUAAUAAUCCAACUCUUAAGUCCCAGUGCACAGAGAUACAGAAGGCUUCAGUUCCGUUGCUGAGUUAUUCUAAAGGUUCUUUCAAAGCUUUACCCUCUUACUUGUAAAAGUGAAGUGCUCUCUAGAUCAGGGGAUGAAAAUGAUAGACUGAGGACCAGCAUGCUAAUCUCAGCAAUACCCUGGUUUCUUUCACAUCCCGCAAUCACUGAUGUUUCAGGUCCCCAGAUUAAGAUACUUAUGUUACCUGCCCACCUCUACUUUACAAAGAUGAUAGGAGGAUAAACUGAAGGCAUUGAUCUGGGGAAGUACUUUGAGUGUUUAGUGGGGAACAUAAAGUCCCAGUGGAAGUGAUUAUCAAAUUAGGCUGUGGCAGCCUAGGAAUAAAGACUUAGAGCGUCACCAGGGCCACCAACCCCUGUGCUGGUCAUGACCCAGACAAACAUCCUUCUCAGGAUUCAGUUCCUUGGGACUUUUCUGGGUUUCGAGACUCCAGUGGAACAGCACAAAUACGUACCAUUAACCAAAGCUACUCUCUUUUUUCUUUCAAAUAUGGACCUAGCCUCAAGCUUUUUUCUGAUUGUGGAGAUAGUAUAUAGUCUCUUUUUAAGAUGCAAGCAGUUUAUCAAAGUAUAAUGAAAAUUAAAAACACCCAAAAUUCCACCACCCAGAACAAACACUAUUAGCUUAGACUACCUCCUCUCAGACCUCUCUUCUGCACACAUAUGCAUAUAUGUGUCUUAUUUUAUGUUACUGGCAUUAUAUCAUACAUGCUAACCGAAACAAUAGACCAUGUCAUUGAAUUAUAACUUCACGUUAGAUUCAUUUUCAAUGACUACAUAGUAGUCCACUGUUGGGUGUACCAUCAGUUACUUAACUAAUGUCCUACGGAAGGCCAGUAAUGUUGCUAUGAACACUACUCUAAUGAAUAUCCUUAUGCUUAGUUAAUCUGUCCAAUUAUUUCCUUAGGAUAAAUUCCCACAAGUUGGAACUGUUAGGGAAACUACUCCCUUCACCCACUGUUAAGAAGGAUUUACCUGGAGCAAUGAGGGAAUAGAAGGGCAAGGACUAACCACACUGGAGAGUCCCUUCAAUCCUAGUGAUCCUCAUCUAUUCAUCCAUGGGAAAAUGAGCAUGACAGAGGUGAAUUUUCAUCUCCCCAAGAUUAAGUGUCACACCAUGAGGUUCUAGAAGCUUGAGUUGUUUUGUGUUGUGUUUGAUUUUUUUUUUUCAACUACUCUUCUUGCCCUGGCCUUUGGAUCCAUUGCACACCGUACAACCCACUCUGCAGUACUCUUCCUCCUCAGACACUGACACGGUGGAUUCCAUUUUCUCUUUACUGGGUUUUCUUUUGGGUGGCUUUUCUCUGUAUGGGGCCCAACGGUUGAUUAACUCCUUUGGGUUAGAGUCAGCACUGAGGCCAGCCAACCAGUGAGUUGGGUUGCGUGAUUACAUUGCAAUGUUUUAAUUUGUCUUUGGACAAAUUCUCAUAAGCUUUCCUGAGAAAAUCUCCCAUUAGAUGUAGUCGUUUAAUUUAAGAACGGUUGGGAGAAGAAGAUGAGCUAAGAUGACAGAUGGAGGAAUGCAGAUGUGUACGUCUUAGGGGGACUCAAAAGCACUCUGAGGAUUUGGCAUCCAGUGAAGCACAAUGUCGGCUUUUACUGCUUGUGUCCAUGGAGUUGAGAAAUUUUCAAGAAAUCAUUAAAAUACAGGGAUUUGCUUAGAUGACAAGCAGGUUUUAUUAUUUUUUCUUGUCUACAAAAUCAUAACAAGUUCAACUAAGGAACUAGCUAGCCCCCCUCCCACACACACACUCCCCAAGUCCAGAAAACAUAAAAAAUAAAAAUUUGAGUAGCUUCUUAGGGAGGCAAAACAAAGCAAGAAAUAAUAAUAAGGCUGCUGUUGGAGAGAAGUUUCCUUUGGUCACAUUACCACAAAGAUAACUUUUUAAAUUCCGUGCUUACCCUGGUUUCCUUCAAACAGUUUUUCUGGACAUCCUAAUUUGGAGUUUGUAUAAUUCAACAUCUAUUAUUGUUUUAGGACCAUGGUUAUUAUUUUUAAUUAUAAUUUAAAGCUGCCUAAUAUACCCAGAGGUCACCAGGCACCUAAAAGAAAUAAAUAAAAACAACUUGCCAUUUUUAAAAGCGGCAUGUUUAUUUGGAAGUUUCACAAGCAACUCAACUAAGACAUCAUAAAACCUUCAAAUAAACUAAAACGGAAACAAAAUAAAAUGUCCAGCCCUAAUCUCCUUAGAAGGCAAGCAGAAGAAGGUUGCAGCUAGCUGAAUGCUAGCAUGAGAACGUUCAGAAUGAUUUUCUUACUGAGUUUGGGAACUCCAGGGUAUGUCUUCGUGCCCACACUCUAUAUUGCAAUCUGUAUAGUCCUGGUCCAAGAUUUGUAAUCCUCGAGCCUCAGUGUGAAGUUUUAGUCAAAGAGAGGUCAGUCUAACAACACACUUGGUGCAGAAAAAGCAGAAGACAUGCUAGAGGCAUGGAAGUGCCUACCCACUGACUACUUCAUCCAGGUGGCUUUGGAUGGCCUUCUCCAGUGCAGGUGUCCAUAACGUAGAUUCAGGUCUCAUUAACUCUAUUUUAGAUGUAAAAUUACUGAAAUAUCAAAGUCUACUGAUUUAACAUUUGGAAGUCUAAAGAAAUUUCAAAACAGUUCCAUAAUGUUUCUACAUGUGAGUUUCCAUAACAGAAAACAGUAAAAUCAUUUUCAAACCAUUUACUGCUAGUAUUCUCCAUGUAAUCAGAGCUGUUAUGGUUUGUUAAGCAACAGAGUUAUCUAGUGGGAAGGAGGUUUAUGCUGCUCCAAGACCUUCUAGCUACAUAAGUAUGCAAAUCUGUAAGUAUUAUAGAAUCUGUUGAACAAGCAUAGUUAAGAUUUCCAGAGGGAAGCAUCUAUUCUCUCCACUCCCAGAAUAGUGUUAGAUAGUUCAGAGUGACUCUCUUUAGGGCCCAGAGAGCUGUACUGUCAAAUUCAGGUCACUCAGAGUUCUGAGGCUAAGGCAGAGAGUGGUGUUCUCAGAGUGGUACAGAAAAGACUCCUGGAGAUCUCUGUGGAAGAAAUAAGAAUGAAAAGAGAGGAGAGAGUAGAACAGAACAGAAGAGAAAAAAAGAAAAAAAGGAAAGAAGUUGAUCCCCGCGAUGACAAACUUGAAUGGCUGCAAUGAUUAAGCAAAAAAUAUAAAUAGGUGAAGUGGGCAAUAGGGAGUGGUGGGGACUGUGGAAAAUGUGCCCAGCCUACAGGGCAUCUGUUGCUCAAAUCCAGCUGAAGGCUUUCAGGCCUAGCAUAACCAGAGCUUUCAGUUUUUCAAGAGAGGCUGGAAGUGUAGAUUCUUUUCACUUGAAAUACCUCAAAUUUCGAAUGUUGGCCAUCAGUUUUAUUCAGAUACCCACACAAUAUUUGUAAAUUGUAUGAGAUAGAAGUAAGCAGUUGGGAACUAAAAAUAGCAACAGGUUUUGAAGCAUGGAAUGGAUAAUUUAUAUUAAAGAGUUCUUCUUUCAUCCUCUGCCACAGAUAAGGGAGAGUCUUAUCAAGCCUUAGUACUAAUUCUCCUCUAUAAAGGAAAAUAUAUAUUUUUUCUCUCCCUUCUAGCCAGUGCCCUCAAGUCUAAAAUAACUUUUAAUCUGCUUUAUCCUGUCUUUCUGAUUCUCUUUGUAAGUAUUGGGCUGGCGAAUGAACUCUGGGUAUACUGAGCUAAGCAAAUGCUUAUGAUCUCUUAGCCUUCUGAGAUGGGGAUGGAUUGAUGCAUAGAAAAGAUUUGCAAAAGGUGGAAAGCUGUUCUGAGCCUAUUUGCAAAAUUUCUGAGAUAAAUUACAAUAUAGUUUAUUAAUUAUUUAAAGAUAUUAUCCUUACAGCACUCCUGGCAUUUCACCUUAGAAAUAUUGGUAUUUGGAGGUUAUAUUAGUCAGUUUUUAUUAAAUAAUGUUGCAGUAACAAAUAAUCUUCAAGUCUCAGUGGCUUACAACCAAGAUAUAUUUUUCAUGUAUAGGUUGGUUGCAUCUCUCCUCUAGUUCAUCUUUGUUCUGAGCUCUGGGCUGAAGGAGCAGCUCCUCCCACGAUAUGGUGCUAGAAGGGAGAAGAGAAACCACAUGAAGGCUUUUAAAGCUUCUUCUCAGAAGUAGCAUACAUUACUGCCUCUCACGUUUUAUUGGUGGCCAAAGCAAGUCACAUGGGCACGCCUGACGUUGAUGAGGCAGGAGACUUAUUACCCUCUCACAGGGAAGGGCAAUAAUCAGGAACAAUUAAACAAUCUCCCGCAGAGGUACCACCUUGGGGGCUUUGGAAGAGAAAAAUAAUGGGGAAGCUCCCCAACAUCUCAUGUUGGAGAAACAAAGCUGACCCUCGGCUCCAUUCUGACCUCCGAGGGGAGCAUUGAGGUAAUUUAAGUAGAGAGUGGUUAAGGGCAUGGUAUCUUGAGUCAGACUUCCUGGGUUUAAAUCCUGGCUCCACCAUUUCUUGGCAGUGAGGCCUUGGAUAUGUUACUCAAUGCUUCUUGUCUCAUUUUCCUCAUGUAGACACACCUACUUCAUAAGGCUGUCGAGAGGAUUCAAUGAGUGAGGAUAUAUGUUGAGAAGGAGAGAAUAUUUAGAACAGUGUUUGGCACAUAAUAAGUAUUGACCAUUACUCAGUGAUGAUGACUGGGAAGCCAUCAGGUCAAAUGCAUCUCAGCCACCUUCUCAAUAAAGGUCAAGAUUUCCUGUUAUAGAAAGACUCUUCCAGGCCUUUUCAACUUCAAAAUCCUCUAUUAAAAUGCAUUUCUGGAAGGGCUAAACCCUUAGGUCUUUAUCAACUAAUACUUUGUGGGGACUACUUUGGAAGCAGAUUCUAGCAGGAUAAGAUGUAAGAAGAGUCCUGGAGACAGUGAGGCAGAAAACAGAAGUUGGGGAACAAGGACCCCUAGAAUAAAUUUGUCACACAUGAUGGUUUUACCAAGAGCUAGCUGACUAGACCAGUAAUUCUCAUCCUUAGCUACAUCUUCAAAUCCCAGGGGAUGCCAAGACCACACCCUAGGUCAACGAUAUCAGACUCUAUGUGGCUGGGAUGCAGGACUCAACACCUUAAAACUCCCCCAUAGUCUUUCUAUGUCAAACCAAGAUUGAUGCAUUGGAGCAGUCUACCUUCCACUCAGAGUACCUGAUUGCCUCCUUCGUGGUACAUAUUUUACUCUACCAUGGGUCUGGAUUAACCCUAUCUCUCCAGCACAGUCCAGAUGAACUGACCAGGAGAGGAACACUUGCUGACAAAGACAAGGGAGAGAUAUGGCCAAAGUGGAGCAUUCGUCUUUUCUCCCCUUCUGAUUGAUCACUUUAUACAAUAAUAAAACUUUUAAAAGGUUGAACCUGAACUGAGGCUGUGACUGUGACACAAUUAAUCAAACUCUUGAAGAAUCAUGUUACAUUAUGUGCUUCAAGCAUUGAUCCACUUCACUAAAAGUUGGCCUGAAAUAUUACCUACACAGGAUACUAGAUUCCUAAGAAAUGGCCAGGAUGUCAUCUAUUGCUUUGCAUCUCCAAAUAAUAUGUGGACCUGCAGCUGAGCAAGACCAUACAGCAGGACAGAUUUUGACACAUCAGAGGGUACAUCACCGGUCCCUACCUUGCCCCAGAUUGCUGGGAGUAGGAGUACAGAGAAGAGAGGGCUGAUGAUGAUGUGUUCCUUAAACCUGUUAUCACUAAGCCUAGAUAGCAAUGAUACUGUUCAUCCACAAGGCUCCCAGUCUCCCUACCUGUUUUUUUUCCCCUACCUGUUCUUGAAUAAAAUGCAGACAGUGUCAGCAUCCCUGGCACCAUAAGCCCUA